rnacentral:rRNA from 1 species
AUUGCACGCUAGCGGCAGUCCUAACACCUGCCAGUCGCGCGAGCGGCGGUCUGGUGAGUACUGUAUGGGGAUCUCCCUGCUGGGGGGGGAUAACUACUUGAAACUGUCGCUAAUCCCGCAUUCCAUCAGAUGUACCCAUAUGGUAUUAGCUCGGAGGUGAGGUAACGGCUCACCUAGGCGACGAUCACUAGCUGGUCUGAGAGGAUGAUCAGCCACACUGGGACGGAGACACGGCCCAGACUCCUACGGGAGGCAGCAGCGGGGAAGAUUGCACAAUGGGCGCAAGCCUGCUGCAGCCAUGCCGUGUGUAUGAAGACGGCCCUCGGGUCGGAAAGUACCUUCAGCGGGGAGGGGUUACCGCCAGAAGAAGCGCCGGCGAACUCCGUGCCAGCAGCCGCGGUAAUAC